UACGAAGGGGGCGAGCGUUGUUCGGAAUUACUGGGCGUAAAGCGUGCGCAGGCGGUUAUGUAAGACAGGUGUGAAAUCCCCGGGCUUAACCUGGGAACUGCAUUUGUGACUGCAUCGCUGGAGUACGGCAGAGGGGGAUGGAAUUCCGCGUGUAGCAGUGAAAUGCGUAGAUAUGCGGAGGAACACCGAUGGCGAAGGCAAUCCCCUGGGCCUGUACUGACGCUCAUGCACGAAAGCGUGGGGAGCAAACAGG
rnacentral:rRNA from 1 species